UUGGAACAGGAUUUUUAAAAUAUGCUAAGCCUGUUCAACUUAAAUAGGGUCAGGAGAUCACAAUCUCAACUUAUUACAUCAUUAAAGUUGAUGAGAGUAUGAUAAGCAUGAGCUACAAAAAGUUAGCAUAGGAUGUAAAGCCACAAAGUGUGAUCAUCUGUGCAGAUGGCACAAUCACCUUUACAGAUUUGUCUUGUGACAAAGAGAACGGUUUGGUAUGAUGCCGCUGUGGGAACACUGCUGUUCUUGGCGAAACAAAUAAUUUCAAUCUCCGUAACGGUUCAGAUCUCGUGGAGGUUCAGAAGCUGCUAGGUGAACAUGCAAUGAAAAUUCUUAUGAUGUGUAAGGUGUACUAAUCCUUUUAAAGAAAAAGACAAGUACUUCUGUAGCAUUACUCCAGCAUACUCCAUCAUUACUCCAUAUCCGUUGUAUGCUAAAUUUGUUUCGUUGAUUAAAUCUGAUCCAGUAAUACAUACGCUGCUUCUAAUUUCGUCGAAAGGAGAAGUCUUGAUGUUAAUGGGAAAAUUUUUGAUGUAGAUAAAGAUGACUUCUUUAUGUUGACUACUAAGGAGGGGAAAAUGAUUGUUGAGAGGGAUCAUUUCAGGGUUAAAAGGGAAAGUGAGUUGCGUAAUUUAGACUUUGAGCAACAUCCUGCUCAGAUUCUUGAUGCUUUCAUGCCACUCUAUUUGAAUAGCCAGAUUUUGAGGGCACUUGAAGAGUCAUUUGCGAGUGAGCUUGCUGCUAGGAUGAAUGCAAUGAGUAAUGCCACGUGUCUGCAGGAGCGGAGGGAGAGUAGGAGAUAUGGGUUCGACCGAACCCAGUGGCUUUGGUGCAAAUCAUUGAUGCUGCUGCAAAUGAAAGUAAAAAGACA